rnacentral:rRNA from 1 species
GACGAACGCUGGCGGCGUGCUUAACACAUGCAAGUCGAACGGAAAGGCCCUGCUUUUGUGGGGUGCUCGAGUGGCGAACGGGUGAGUAACACGUGAGUAACCUGCCCGUGACUUUGGGAUAACUUCAGGAAACUGGGGCUAAUAACGGAUAGGAGCUCCUGCUGCAUGGUGGGGGUUGGAAAGUUUCGGCGGCUGGGGAUGGACUCGCGGCUUAUCAGCUUGUUGGUGGGGUAGUGGCUUACCAAGGCUUUGACGGGUAGCCGGCCUGAGAGGGUGACCGGCCACAUUGGGACUGAGAUACGGCCCAGACUCCUACGGGAGGCAGCAGUGGGGAAUAUUGCACAAUGGGCGGAAGCCUGAUGCAGCAACGCCGCGUGCGGGAUGACGGCCUUCGGGUUGUAAACCGCUUUCGCCUGUGACGAAGCGUGAGUGACGGUAAUGGGUAAAGAAGCACCGGCUAACAACGUG